AAUGGCAAUUUGCAAGCAAAAGAAAACCAGAUUCACAUUCUACUAUUUACAUUUGUUCUAUUCACAGGUCAAAUGUAUUUUACUCCAUCAAUACUGCAAGGAAGAUAACUGAAUUUAGAAAUGCUCUCUCUCUACAGCAAAGUUAACUUAACUUUUCGGGACCCAACUGGCCUAUCAUUUAGAUCUUUAAUAGCAGCCAUAGCUUCAUUAUAGUUUAUCAUAGCAACAAUGGCUUCCCCUGUAGGUAAGCCUUGCUCAUUAUACUGUAUCGAAACUGAAUCAGGUAUGAUUCUGUAACCAUGGAAAAAGUCUAAAAUUUCAUUCACAUUAGCUUUAAAUGGAAGAUUCAUUAUCUUAAUAGGAGUUACUCUACCUGAACCACAAUUUAUCUUUGGAUCAGGCAUAAAUCUCCCCUCAGGAAAACUUCCCAUAUUAUGCUUUCCAAAAUCAAACUUGCCACCUUCUGGGCGACCAAAAUUCACAAAAGGGCGGUGACUUCUAAAAUCAUCAG
rnacentral:lncRNA from 1 species